GCAGCCAUCAUUUAAAGAAAGCGUAAUAGCUCACUGGUCGAGUCGGCCUGCGCGGAAGAUGUAACGGGGCUAAACCAUGCACCGAAGCUGCGGCAGCGAACGUAUCACUUAAAGCGAUUCAGCGGGUUACGAUUGACGGAGCGAAGCGACGUCAAAGCGUAUACAAAGUCGAGUCGGUUUAAGGAUACGUUCGUUGGGUAGGGGAGCGUUCUGUAAGCCUGUGAAGGUGGCCUGUGAGGGUUGCUGGAGGUAUCAGAAGUGCGAAUGCUGACAUAAGUAACGAUAAAGCGGGUGAAAAGCCCGCUCGCCGGAAGACCAAGGGUUCCUGUCCAACGUUAAUCGGGGCAGGGUGAGUCGACCCCUAAGGCGAGGCCGAAAGGCGUAGUCGAUGGGAAACGGGUUAAUAUUCCCGUACUUGGUGUUACUGCGAAGGGGGGACGGAGAAGGCUAUGUUGGCCGGGCGACGGUUGUCCCGGUUUAAGCGUGUAGGUGUGUGUUCCAGGUAAAUCCGGUUCACUUUAACACUGAGGCGUGA
rnacentral:rRNA from 1 species